rnacentral:rRNA from 1 species
AGAGUUUGAUCCUGGCUCAGGAUGAACGCUGGCGGCGUGCCUAACACAUGCAAGUCGAACGAAGCUUGACGGAUGAUUUCUUCGGAAUGAAACCAGAUAUGACUUAGUGGCGGACGGGUGAGUAACACGUGAGCAACCUGCCUUUCAGAGGGGGAUAACGGCUGGAAACGGUCGCUAAUACCGCAUGAUGUGUUCGGAUGGCAUCAUCUGAACAUCAAAGAUUUAUCGCUGAAAGAUGGGCUCGCGUCUGAUUAGAUAGUUGGUGGGGUAACGGCCUACCAAGUCUACGAUCAGUAGCCGGACUGAGAGGUUGAACGGCCACAUUGGGACUGAGAUACGGCCCAGACUCCUACGGGAGGCAGCAGUGGGGAAUAUUGCACAAUGGGGGAAACCCUGAUGCAGCAACGCCGCGUGAAGGAUGACGGUUUUCGGAUUGUAAACUUCUUUUCUUAGUGACGAAGACAGUGACGGUAGCUAAGGAAUAAGCAUCGGCUAACUACGUGCCAGCAGCCGCGGUAAUACGUAGGAUGCAAGCGUUAUCCGGAUUUACUGGGUGUAAAGGGAGCGCAGGCGGGACUGCAAGUUGGAUGUGAAAUACCGUGGCUUAACCACGGAACUGCAUCCAAAACUGUAGUUCUUGAGUGAAGUAGAGGCAAGCGGAAUUCCGAGUGUAGCGGUGAAAUGCGUAGAUAUUCGGAGGAACACCAGUGGCGAAGGCGGCUUGCUGGGCUUUAACUGACGCUGAGGCUCGAAAGUGUGGGGAGCAAACAGGAUUAGAUACCCUGGUAGUCCACACUGUAAACGAUGAUAGCUAGGUGUGGGGGGGUCUGACCCCUUCCGUGCCGGAGUUAACGCAAUAAGCUAUCCACCUGGGGAGUACGACCGCAAGGUUGAAACUCAAAGGAAUUGACGGGGGCCCGCACAAGCAGUGGAUUAUGUGGUUUAAUUCGAAGCAACGCGAAGAACCUUACCAGGUCUUGACAUCCGACUAACGAGAUAGAGAUAUGUCAGGUGCCCUUCGGGGAAAGUCGAGACAGGUGGUGCAUGGUUGUCGUCAGCUCGUGUCGUGAGAUGUUGGGUUAAGU